AUGUCUAAGUCCAACAAAGCCAUGUACGGCCAAAGGCGACCAUAGUCUUUCUCAUUUACCGGCUUUCCUUUGCCCAACCCGGGUCUCAUUUCUCACUUUAAUCCCAACAAAACCAAGUUUCUUUAUUCCACUAUGCUACAAAUGACCCCAAGUAGGAAACUUUUAUUUUAUUUUAUUUUUUAAUUUCUUUGUUUUCAGUUUUUGUCUUUUACUUGUUAAUGUUUGCCCUUCUCUAUUUGUGUGGUUUCGCCUAUGAACCGGAGGAAGGGUCUAGUGUCUGCUUUUUUGAGUCAUCGUUCUUGACCUAUAACAGGAGAGACAGAGUUGGGGAAAAUGGCCUUCGAAUUAUGUUGGGUUUUCUGCUGAAAACCUGUGGCACGUUUUCCUUGCAAGAUGUUUUCAUUGUCAAGAUUUCAAAAGAGACCAAAGAAUGGCUCAUAAAGCUGAUCUAGUUAUUAUAGGCAUUUCUGUUGGCUUAGCACUUGGUCUUUUGGUAGCUUUGCUCAUCUUUUAUGGCAUAAGGUGGUAUAAAAAUCAUGCUCAUCUUCGAAGAUGUGCAAAUGAGCGUAGUGUAACAGCUCUUCCUAUACGCACAAAUGGUUUUGGUACGAGUACUGACUUUAGCGCAUCUCUCUCAAAUCCAGUACCCAUUCAAGUAUCAGAGAUCCAGCACAAAAAUUCGCUGUCAUCCUGGUGGAACCAUCAUAACAAAGAUCGGUUUACUUCUGUAUCAGGCAUACUUAGAUACUCAUACAAGGAUGUACAGAAAGCUACACAAAAUUUCACAACUAUUUUAGGACAAGGGUCAUUUGGUCCUGUGUAUAAAGCGAAUAUGCAGACUGGAGAGGUAGUAGCUGUGAAGGUGCUUGCUUCUAAUUCUAAACAGGGGGAAAAAGAGUUCCAAACUGAGGUAUCUCUGCUAGGAAGGCUGCAUCAUCGUAAUCUGGUGAAUCUGGUUGGUUAUUGUGUUGAAAAAGGACAGCAUAUGUUAAUUUAUGAGUUCAUGAGUAAUGGAAGCUUAGCAAACCUUCUUUAUGGUGAAAAAGAAAGAAUUUUGAGCUGGGAUGAAAGGCUCCAAAUUGUUCUUGAUAUAUCACAUGGAAUCGAGUACCUUCAUGAAGGGGCAGUGCCACCUGUCAUACAUCGGGAUUUAAAAUCUGCUAAUAUAUUGUUAGACCGGUCAAUGAGAGCCAAGGUUGCUGAUUUUGGAUUGUCAAAGGAAGAGGUAUUUGACGGCCGGAAUAGUGGCCUUAAAGGAACAUACGGCUACAUAGACCCAGAGUACAUAUCCUCAAACAAGUUCACAAUGAAGAGUGACAUCUACAGUUUUGGUAUUAUCAUGUUCGAACUUAUCACAGCCAUCCACCCGCAGCAAAACCUAAUGGAAUACAUUAAUCUAGCUGGUAUGAGUCAUGAUGGUGUUGAUGAAAUCCUUGAUGAGAAAUUAGCUGGAGAAUGCAACCUUGAAGAAGUAAGGAGGCUAGCUAGCAUUGCUCACAAGUGCUUGCACAAGUUACCAAGAAAGAGACCGUCAAUAGGAGAAGUUUCACAGGCUAUUUUGAAGAUAAAACAGAGACGCCUCACGAAAGAAGAUACCAUGUCCUCGGCCUGUGGAGAUUAUUCACGAGCAGUGAGCAGAAUAGCUGAUCAACAGGUGGAGUUGAGUUUGAUGACCAGCAUUAAAGAAAGAGUGAUUUUGAAAGAAUCAUAGAAACAAAACCUACUUCGGCUUGGAGAGAUUACAGUCAAAUUAAGCAACCUCUUCUCAUUCUCAAACUUAAUGACGUUUGACAUCCUUCUACAGGGAUAUUUUCCAAAACCCAGCUCAGAGAAUUCCUUCACUUCCUACUUCGCCAGUUCUGGCAAUGUUUUUCAUUUCUUUAGUUCCUCAAAGUGUGGUCCAGACAUGUCAAACACUAUACCAAUCAUAAUAAUAUUGACAACUUGCAAUAUUAUUUUAUAGGGUAAAUCUCAGAUAUUGUCCCAAAAAUUAAAAUAAAUCUCAGAAACUUCCAAGCACGACAGAACAAGAUCACGCCUGACCCAAUUUCUCAAUGAUAAAACAUACCAUGCUCUUCUCUUCUUUUUCUUUUUUCUUUUCUGGUAAUCAUAAACCAUACCCUGCUAGUUCACAAGGAUAUAGAUAAAAAAACCCAAAACGAAAAGGGGUAAAAUAGAAAAUUGAACCAGAAUUUAAUAAAUGAGGACUAUUUCUACAUCAUUUGUUGAUUUUAGAAAAAACUGCAAUAGCACUACGUGAUGAUAGUGAAAAAAAUAUAUGUUCAACAGAAGAAGUUCAUCAUCACCUAACAAAAAGGAUGCAAAAACACAAGCAAGCUUGUAGAUAGUUUAUCCAACAUUUUAAGAGUUUAUAUACAUAGAUUCUGUAGUUCUCUCCUUACAUUCCCUUUUUCGGCUUUAUUUAACAUCCCCUAAUACAUAAAAGCAGAAGAGUAGAAUAGAAAGUAAUACUAUAAACAAAUGGAAAGAAGGCUCUCAUCCCUAACCGGCCAACAAUGGCAAGAGCAUCUCAACCUUGUUUUAUCUGGGGAUAGUAUUAUUCCCAAGUCACUCCCAACUCCUCCUAAUACGGUCCAUUCUCCUGCAAAGAUCAUCCUCUCUUCAUGGGACCAAUUUUCCUACAGGCUACAAAUACUCUUAUAAUUUUGAUAUCUGUUAAUAUCAACUCAAAACUGGCAUGAAGUACCAAG